GGGAGAAUUUACAUAUAGUAAUGUUUUGGCUUGAUGCAAAUCAAUAUCUCAACAUACAAGAUUAUUGAUUCCCUAAAAUAGAGUAUAUAAGUCAUGGUCUCAUAACCAAACUAGAGUUUAUAAGGUAUGGUCUGAUAAGUAUCAACUAUACAAUUAACUUUAGACGUCUAAAGAAUGGAUCUUCAAGUCCAUUUUCAUGAGCAUAUUCUACCAGUUGUUCAAUGUCAAUUUCAUUUGACGAACGAUACUUAUCAAAAUGCUUUCUGAAAAGUUCAGAAAAUAAACACUUAGUCAAAUUAUUGACCUAAUAAUCUCACAAAUUAAUUUUUGCAUCAUAAUAGAUCUGGGAUAACCCAACCGGUCUUGCCAACGAUUUGUAAACUUCUGGUUUACAUUAAUAUAUGAUUCAUUUGUUCUAAUCCAUUUUGAAACAUGAUUUGUAAACUUCUGGUUUACAAUAGUAUGUGUUUUAUUUGUUCUUGUCUAUUUGAAACAAAAAGAAAAAAAAAUUAACAAAAAAAAAAAAAAGAGUUUGUGCUUACUUACCUUGUAAUUCAGACCUUCAAGAAGUCAUAUGCAAUAAAAAAGAAGAAAAUUAUAACCAAACUUUGAUCAUAGAAUAAGGAAAUAAUAUUGCACGUUUCAAUCCAUAUAAUAGAGACAUGAUCGUGUCAAGAAAAUCUUUGAUCAAACAAUAAUUUCCCAAACGAUUUAAGUCCAUACUAAUGGAAUUUUAUGAUCUUAGUUAGGGCUGGACAAAAAACACCAAACCGGCCCAAAACGACCGACCUGUUUGGCCCGAAGCAUAUCGGUUCGGUUUACACGGUCAAUUCGGGUCAGGUAGUUCAAAGGACUUGAUUUGUGUUGGUUUGGACUGGUCGGUUUCGGGUGGUGUGGAUAGUCCCAUCGAAAACCGAAUCCGACCGUAUAUAUGUUUUUUACUUAGGCCCAUUACUGAGUCCAGCCCAAGAGUUAGAACAAAACCCUACUUGUAUUCCAUUUCCUCCCUCACACACUAAUUGUGCCGCUGGCAGCCUCUCCUUCUCUAACCCAACACUUCUAACAACCCACCACCAUUGAUGUUUUCAAUCUCAACAUCCACAGUUUUACACUCCUUUCUUUCUCUUCACUCUCUCAUAUUCCACAACCCUUCUUCUCCACACAGAUAUAUUGUUUUUUAUGUGACUGUUGUUUCAAGAAAGUAAAUAAAAUGUAAUUCAACCAUUAUUAGUGCUUGAUGAUCUUCAUCUUCAUCAUUCUCCACCCAGAUCUAUAUGUAUCACUUCUUCCUUCUUCUUCAACAAUAGAACUGAACUGACUAUCUUUCGACAUUUUUUAUUUGCUCUGUUUUUGGACUUUGUGAAAGAUUUUGGAGAAUUUUAGUGUGCUGAAAUUUUUAAUGUGUGAAGUUUUUUUUAUUAAAAAUUUGUUUAAUGCCAAACCGAUAUAAUCGAACCGUUUAACCGUGGUAACCGUUAAACCGAAACCGUCAAAACUGAAAGACGCAUAUGGGCGGAAAUGGCUUGGGAUGUUCCAACCGUCGGUUGAGUCGAAUUUGGAUUUUGGCACCAAUUUCCGACCAAAAUCGGCCGAUGGCCAGCCCUAAUCUUAGUAUGUGAAAUGUGUCAAUUAGUUGAGACAUCUUCUAUUCUCUUUAAUGUCAUUAUGUUCUUCAUUUACCAAAAAAAAAAGUAUAUUAAAAUAAUUAUGCAUAUGCAUUUUGGCAAGAGAAUUCACUUUGUAAAUUAUUUCAUCACUCAAUUGACUUUGAAACUUUGAUGUUAAAAACAAACAUAAAAUGACAUAAUGACAAAACAAUAAAAACUUCAAUACUAAAAAAAAAAUUAAAUAUUUUAAAGAGUAAAUUGCAUUUAUCUCCUAUGAGGUUUUAUUAAAAAACACUCACACCCCCUCUAGUUUGAAAAAAAAAACACCCACCUCCCUUAUUUGUUUGCAAGAGUUUAUAUUUUCCCUUUUGACUAAUGUUUGUUACUUAAGAGAACAAAUAUUUUUGGGCAAUUUCAUGGGUUCUCUUUUUCAACAACAAUUUAAUCGUGGGUCUCAACUCCCCACUCCUAUGAAUAUUGUGAAAAAUGCACGUUUAAUUGCUUAAAAUACAUCAAUUCCGUCAAAAAUUGAUGUUCUAUUAACAUACUUAAAACCAACGCAUGUUAACUGUCGUCCAGGUCAGUGUAAGUUAACUUGCGAUAGGUUAAUUGUGGAAAUUCAAAGUGCGAAUGAAUAAUUUUGAAAAGAGUAAAAUUCUUAAUUUUUUUCUGCUGCAAUUUUACAAAAUAUCAACAGAAAGAACGAAUCAUCAAUUUUUAUGAUUUUAAGUUAUGUGAUAUAAUAAGGCGAUGUGAAAAUAACAUUACGAUGGAAUCUUUUGCAUUUUGAUAAAGAUGAAAUUGUUUAAUUGAUUUAAUCACCAUCAUUUGCAAAUAAGAAAUCUAUGUAAGGAAAUGUUGAAAGGUCGCAUUUGUUUCAUCCAAGCCACUAAGGAAGUUUGCAUUAAGAUCUGUAUUAAAAAAAGUGUAAAUUUUCACAUAAGACAUCCCAAGUGACAAAAAAACAAAGUGGGCCAUGCAAACAAGAAUGGAUGAAUGAAAAUUGAAAACAAUUUUAUUGUUUUACACCGUAUCAUGACAUUGACAAAAUCGAACAUCCCAAUGUGAUUAAACUUAUUAGAGAACCUUACCCUAUUUAGUUUGCUUCAAGCCUGCAAUGCAACAAUGUCAUUCUUAUUCUUAGGUGAGAUGUCAAUAACAAAUGCCAAUGCUUAACUUCAUAUGAAUCCAUCGACCUACACACAUAUACAAUAUUGAAAGCUACCAACAAAUUUCUGUUGCCUAACUCAAUAUAAAAAUUCAAUAAUGAUCGAAGAAGAAAGGAAAAUCAUUGUGUUUAGUUAGUAACUUAUAAAUAAAGUUUGUUGUAUUAUAAACAGUGAACGCAAUGGUAGCAGGAAGUUUGGUUGAGUAUAUAUCUUUCAUCCAAUUAUGCAAAGACAUAUUACAAUUUUAUAUUAAUUUAUCUUAAAAUAAAUCUACAUAUUAAAUAAAUUUUGUCGGUAUUUAUCUAAAUUUUAAGAUACUUAAAAAUUUAUUAUUAGAAAUACAAUUCUAUUGAUAGCUACAAAAACGUUAACACAUAAGGGCCAUGAGUUUGAAUCGAAGAUUCUUCACUUUUCACCAUUAAACGAGUAUGAGUUUAACUACUAACCUAUUUGGUAAAAUAAAAAUAACGUUUGCAAUUGUUGAAUGUUUUGUGUUUCUUCGUAACAAGAACGAGGUGUUACUGCUGG
rnacentral:lncRNA from 1 species